rnacentral:rRNA from 1 species
UGUGUAGGCGGCCAGACAAGCGCGUUGUGAAAUACCCCGGCUUAACCGGGGAACUGCUUCGCGUACUAUCUGGCUUGAGGCAGGUAUGGGUGCGGGGAACUGUUGGUGGAGCGGUGGAAUGCGUAGAUAUCAACAGGAACGCCGGCGGUGAAGACGCCGCACUGGGCCUGUCCUGACGCUGAUACACGAAAGCGUGGGCAUAAAACGGGAUUAGAUACCCCGGUAUUCCACGCCCUAAACGAUGUCUACUAGGCUGGGGUGGUUCUGACACCAUCCUGGCCGAAGCAAAAGUGUUAAGUAGACCGCCUGGGGAGUACGGUCGCAAGGCUAAA